rnacentral:rRNA from 1 species
UAAUACGGAGGGUGCGAGCGUUGUCCGGAAUCACUGGGCGUAAAGGGCGCGUAGGCGGCCUGAUAAGUAGGGGGUGAAAUCCUGCGGCUUAACCGCAGGGCUGCCUUCUAAACUGUCGGGCUGGAGCACAGUAGAGGCAGGUGGAAUUCCCGGUGUAGCGGUGGAAUGCGUAGAGAUCGGGAAGAACAUCAGUGGCGAAGGCGGCCUGCUGGGCUGUUGCUGACGCUGAGGCGCGACAGCGUGGGGAGCAAACAGGAUUAGAUACCCUGGUAGUCCACGCCGUAAACGAUGGACACUAGGCGUCGGGGGGAGCGACCCUCCCGGUGCCGUCGCUAACGCAGUAAGUGUCCCGCCUGGGGAGUACGGCCGCAAGGCU